GGAUACGGCCAUACUGCGGAGAAAGCACCGCUUCCCGUCCGAUCAGCGAAGUUAAGCUCCGCCAGGCGAUGUUAGUACUGGGGUGGGUGACCACCCGGGAAUCCAUCGUGCUGUAUCCUCCU
rnacentral:rRNA from 1 species